GCCGAACUUAGUGCGGACACCCAAUCGGCAUAGCGCACUACAGCCCAGAAUUCCUGGACUCAAGUGAUCCUCCUGUCUCAGCCUCCCGAGUAGCUGGGACUACAGAAGAGCACACGUCUGAAGUC